rnacentral:rRNA from 1 species
UCCCAGCUUAAAUUUACGCCGGAUAAUACAAACCCCUAUUUAAAAUUCAAAGAUCUUGGCGGUGUCUUACUCUAUCAGGGGAACCUGUCCCUUAAUUCGAUAAUCCACGAAUGACCUACCUUCUCUAGAAACCUCAGCUUGUGUACUGCCGUCGCAAGUGUACCUCAAAGAGAUAGUACACAGUAAUAAUUCUCUUAUCGACGUCAGGUCAAAGUGCAGCUUAUGAAAAGGUGGAGAUGGGUUACAUUUUACAUAUUAAUUCUGAACUCACUAAAUAAUGGCGACAAAAGCUGGACUUGAUAGUAAUAAUUAAAACUUAAUUAAUAUGAACAGAAAUCUAAGACAUGCACACAUCGCCCGUCACUCUCGCCGAAAGGUG